AAAUUGAAGAGUUUGAUCAUGGCUCAGAUUGAACGCUGGCGGCAGGCCUAACACAUGCAAGUCGAACGGUAGCACAGAGAGCUUGCUCUCGGGUGACGAGUGGCGGACGGGUGAGUAAUGUCUGGGAAACUGCCUGAUGGAGG
rnacentral:rRNA from 1 species